rnacentral:tRNA from 1 species
GAGAAAGUUAUUGAGGCUAUAAUAUUGGCUUGAAACCAGUUUUGGGGGGUUCGAUUCCUUCCUUUCUUA